UAAAAAAUUUCUUCUCUCUUUCUUUAAACCUGGCAACUCUCUGUUCUUUCUUAUUUUCACCAAAGUUUUCAAUUAGGGUUUCCAAUUUUCUGUGAUUUUGAGCUUUUUGAAUUGAUUUCAUGAACUCACAAAUAGAAGGAAGAACCAGCUGAGGAUGUUACGGAAGGUGAUGAAGUGGAUGCUGAAAAUAACAAUGAACAUGAUGCUUCUGAGGGUGUAGAGAAAAGGGUAUAAAUCCUAUCUUUGAUCUCUUAAUUAAUUCUGUUAAUCUUAUCAAUUGGAUUCACCUUGACUGUUUGCCUGACUUGAUUCAACUUGCCUACUUGCUGUGCUCAGAGUAAGAUAAUAUGCGGAUUUGAAUUUCCAAGAUAUGAUUCUUUAUCAUUAAUGGUCUCAUCGUAAUGUUGUUCCAAAUUUUGCAUAAGCUUGCGAGUUUGCAGUUUCUGGUGGAAUGUUGGUGCUACUGUUUCGGUUGGCUGUGUAUGAAUACUUUCGGGAUCAUUAUGUCACACAGAUAAUGUCUCCUUUUUCAUGUUGGCUACUGGGGAUAGUGUAGAUUUGUCUACAUGAAGAUAGAUGCUUCCACCCUCAUAUCCAUUAUCGCAAAUUCAUUAUCCUAAAAUCAGGGAUUCUCCCUGGCUAACUUUGUUAGGCGAUCCUUUAUUUUAUCUCUUUUGGUUGCUAGUUCCAUGCUAUACACUGUUUCUUUUGUUAAUACAGGUUGAGUCAGAAUUUCUGAACGAGGAGAAUGAUGAUGCAAUAGAAAAUUUUGAUGGUAAUAAGUUUUGGAAAAUCUUUAUCGGCUUUCUUGAUGAUUCAAAAGAUCAAGCUUCAGACAACAUCAUAAUGUUGUCUCCUCAAUGGCUUUAUGCUAAACCAACUGAUAUUAAGCCAGGUAUUACCAAUGCACUAUGCGUACCGUGCUGAACUUUUUUGAAUAGAAAUUUUAUUACCCUGAUCCAAAGCCAUAGAUCAGGCCUGUGCAAAGUGUUGGUUUGGACAAGGCAGUUGUCGUGACUCAGCAGGAAUCUUUCGAGGGAUCUGGAGUGCAAGUCCCUUAUUUUUCUAUGGUGCGAAGAGGGUGCUCUAGAGAAAAUUUUAUGCCUCCCAUGGGAUCUUUCGAGCAAUAAUUUUUCAGGACGGGUGCCAUCUUCUGUUGGUGAUCUACAGCAUCUGCUUACCUUGAAUUUGAGUAAGAACCAUCUCAAUGGUCCUAUGCCGGCCGAAUUCGGGAAUAUCAGAAGUAUCCAAAUUCUGUGUCGACUCAACUUGUUGACGUUGAUGAUCAUUAGGGCCAGCCAGGUGCAUUACGCCGCCUUAUUUUUAAUUUCCCCGUUGUGGUUUUGUACUUAUAAGUUGGACAUAUUGUCUGGUUCAAACAGAACUGUAUCUGAAUCGUUUUUAUCAUGUUAAUGGUAAUCUGUGAGUGGCGGUUUUGUCUCAAUAAUUUAUGAACCGGAGAUUGAAAUCUCUACUUCAUUUCUUAGGUUUGGUAUCUACAUUACUUAUAUAGUAGUCAUCUCAUGAGGGACUAAAAUCAUUUGCUUAUUCAUUACCAAAAUUUAAGUGUGUUCAUUGUCGUCGUUCGACAAAUGAUAGCUUACCGAUUCAUGUUUAGUGCAAUCAUAUACCUCAUCUUUACUAAUUCCUUUCUACUUGUAUAAAACCAUUUUUCUUUUUUUGUGAGAUUUAAACAUCA